CCCUUAGAUGUCCGGGGCUGCACGCGCGCUACACUGAAGGAAUCAGCGUGCUAAAACCAUUGUCGAAAGGCAUUGGUAAACCCAUUAAAAUCCUACGUGAUUGGGAUCGGGAAUUGCAAUUAUUUCCCUUGAACGAGGAAUUCCCAGUAAGGGUGGGUCAUAAGCUCGCGUUGAUUACGUCCCUGCCCUUUGUACACACCGCCCGUCGCUGCCCGGGACUGAGCCGUUUCGAGAAAAGCGGGGACUGCUGCUGUCGGGGCUUUCGGGCCUUGGCUUCGGUGGAAACCGCUUUAAUCGCAGUGGCUUGAACCGGGCAAAAGUCGUAACA
rnacentral:rRNA from 1 species